rnacentral:rRNA from 1 species
UCCUACGGGAGGCAGCAGUGGGGAAUUUUGGACAAUGGGCGAAAGCCUGAUCCAGCAAUGCCGCGUGUGUGAAGAAGGCCUUCGGGUUGUAAAGCACUUUUGUCCGGAAAGAAAUCCUUGGCUCUAAUACAGUCGGGGGAUGACGGUACCGGAAGAAUAAGCACCGGCUAACUACGUGCCAGCAGCCGCGGUAAUACGUAGGGUGCGAGCGUUAAUCGGAAUUACUGGGCGUAAAGCGUGCGCAGGCGGUUUGCUAAGACCGAUGUGAAAUCCCCGGGCUCAGCCUGGGAACUGCAUUGGUGACUGGCAGGCUAGAGUAUGGCAGAGGGGGGUAGAAUUCCACGUGUAGCAGUGAAAUGCGUAGAGAUGUGGAGGAAUACCGAUGGCGAAGGCAGCCCCCUGGGCCAAUACUGACGCUCAUGCACGAAAGCGUGGGGAGCAAACAGGGUUAGAUACCCUGGUAGUCCACGCCCUAAACGAUGUCAACUAGUUGUUGGGGAUUCAUUUCCUUAGUAACGUAGCUAACGCGUGAAGUUGACCGCCUGGGGAGUACGGUCGCAAGAUUAAAACUCAAAGGAAUUGACGGGGACCCGCACAAGCGGUGGAUGAUGUGGAUUAAUUCGAUGCAACGCGAAAAACCUUACCUACCCUUGACAUGGUCGGAAUCCUGCUGAGAGGUGGGAGUGCUCGAAAGAGAACCGGCGCACAGGUGCUGCAUGGCUGUCGUCAGCUCGUGUCGUGAGAUGUUGGGUUAAGUCCCGCAACGAGCGCAACCCUUGUCCUUAGUUGCUACGCAAGAGCACUCUAAGGAGACUGCCGGUGACAAACCGGAGGAAGGUGGGGAUGACGUCAAGUCCUCAUGGCCCUUAUGGGUAGGGCUUCACACGUCUUACAAUGGUCGGAACAGAGGGUUGCCAACCCGCGAGGGGGAGCUAAUCCCAGAAAACCGAUCGUAGUCCGGAUUGCACUCUGCAACUCGAGUGCAUGAAGCUGGAAUCGCUAGUAAUCGCGGAUCAGCAUGCCGCG